ensembl:lncRNA
GUUUUGGAUGUAUGAUAUUGUGCUGUAUGUUUCGCUAAGACUGUUUCUUGACUUUUGAAUUCUUGUACAUUUCACGGUACACUUUAUAAUACAUUUCAUGAAUAAUCUAUUAUAAAUAUUUAGAUUAUGGUAAAUGUUACAAAAGCUUCUAAAUAGAUUUCAAGGACUUUGUUCAGCUUAAACUACGUACAGCUCCUUUCCAGGCUCCCACCUUCUCGCAAAGUUGAUCUCCUCUAACAGAAUAGCUGGACUUGUAUCCUUAAUUCAUGAGAAAUGAUCUUCACAAAAUGCCUACACACUACAGUACCUUACCUUUGACAAAGAAGUGAGAAUGAGACCAAGAGAACCUUGGGCUCAAAUGGGACUGGCUCAUGGUAUGGAACAACAUUUGUUCUUCAUCUAGAAACCUUUCCCAUCAGCUGGACUUAUUUCACUCCUGACAGUAGACUUAAACUACAGCUUGUAGAUAAUGAUCAACAUCACAAAUGCUCUUGUUCUGAAACAGGAACCAUUCUGCAUAAAUCUUGGCACUGUUUUCACCGUGGAUCUGCUUGGAAACACGUUUUAGGUCAAAUUCAAAGUAAGAUAUUUCCGUUCUGUUCUGUUCUUAUGCUGUGUCCCAAACCCGUAACUACACUGCUCCUUAAUAGUUAUGUAUAUUCACCACAGAAUACAGGAACUACACUGCUCCUUAAUAGUUAUGUAUAUUCACCACAGAAUACAGGAACUGCACUGCUCCUUAAUAGUUAUGUAUAUUCACCACAGAAUACAGGAACUACACUGCUCCUUAAUAGUUAUGUAUAUUCACCACAGAAUACAGGAACUGCACUGCUCCUUAAUAGUUAUGUAUAUUCACCACAGAAUACAAGAACUACACUGCUCCUUAAUAGUUAUGUAUAUUCACCACAGAAUACAGGAACUACACUGCUCCUUAAUAGUUAUGUAUAUUCACCACAGAAUACAAGAACUACACUGCUCCUUAAUAGUUAUGUAUAUUCACCACAGAAUACAGGAACUGCACUGCUCCUUAAUAGUUAUGUAUAUUCACCGCAGAAUACAAGAACUACACUGCUCCUUAAUAGUUAUGUAUAUUCACCACAGAAUACAAGAACUACACUGCUCCUUAAUAGUUAUGUAUAUUCACCACAGAAUACAGAACUACACUGCUCCUUAAUAGUUAUGUAUAUUCACCACAGAAUACAGGAACUGCACUGCUCCUUAAUAGUUAUGUAUAUUCACCACAGAAUACAAGAACUACACUGCUCCUUAAUAGUUAUGUAUAUUCACCACAGAAUACAGGAACUACACUGCUCCUUAAUAGUUAUGUAUAUUCACCACAGAAUACAGGAACUACACUGCUCCUUAAUAGUUAUGUAUAUUCACCACAGAAUACAGGAACUACACUGCUCCUUAAUAGUUAUGUAUAUUCACCACAGAAUACAGGAACUGCACUGCUCCUUAAUAGUUAUGUAUAUUCACCACAGAAUACAGGAACUGCACUGCUCCUUAAUAGUUAUGUAUAUUCACCACAGAAUACAAGAACUACACUGCUCCUUAAUAGUUAUGUAUAUUCACCACAGAAUACAGGAACUGCACUGCUCCUUAAUAGUUAUGUAUAUUCACCACAGAAUACAGGAACUACACUGCUCCUUAAUAGUUAUGUAUAUUCACCACAGAAUACAGGAACUACACUGCUCCUUAAUAGUUAUGUAUAUUCACCACAGAAUACAGGAACUACACUGCUCCUUAAUAGUUAUGUAUAUUCACCACAGAAUACAGGAACUACACUGCUCCUUAAUAGUUAUGUAUAUUCACCACAGAAUACAAGAACUACACUGCUCCUUAAUAGUUAUGUAUAUUCACCACAGAAUACAGGAACUACACUGCUCCUUAAUAGUUAUGUAUAUUGACCACAGAAUACAGGAACUACACUGCUCCUUAAUAGUUAUGUAUAUUCACCACAGAAUACAGGAACUACACUGCUCCUUAAUAGUUAUGUAUAUUCACCACAGAAUACAGGAACUACACUGCUCCUUAAUAGUUAUGUAUAUUCACCACAGAAUACAGGAACUGCACUGCUCCUUAAUAGUUAUGUAUAUUCACCACAGAAUACAAGAACUACACUGCUCCUUAAUAGUUAUGUAUAUUCACCACAGAAUACAGGAACUACACUGCUCCUUAAUAGUUAUGUAUAUUCACCACAGAAUACAAGAACUACACUGCUCCUUAAUAGUUAUGUAUAUUCACCACAGAAUACAGGAACUACACUGCUCCUUAAUAGUUAUGUAUAUUCACCACAGAAUACAGGAACUACACUGCUCCUUAAUAGUUAUGUAUAUUCACCACAGAAUACAGGAACUGCACUGCUCCUUAAUAGUUAUGUAUAUUCACCACAGAAUACAGGAACUACAACACUACGUAUUUGUCUUUUUCUGUUACAUCCUUUAAUUGAUUUAUUCCUUGUUUUAUCUCUCUUUUAUUCCUCGUUUCUCCCACUGCAUACUGCUUGUAUGUUACCUUAUAC